UCCUCUGGAUUGUAAACUUCUUUUCUCUGGGGCGAAAAAAGGAUAUUCUUAUCCUCCUGACAGUACCAGAGGAAUAAGCACCGGCUAACUCCGUGC
rnacentral:rRNA from 1 species